UACGUAGGGUGCAAGCGUUGUCCGGAAUUAUUGGGCGUAAAGAGCUCGUAGGCGGCUCGUCGCGUCGGCUGUGAAAACCUGGGGGCUCAACCCCGGGCCUGCAGCCGAUACGGGCGAGCUAGAAUUCGGUAGGGGGAGACUGGAAUUCCUGGUGUAGCGGUGAAAUGCGUAGAGAUCGGGAAGAACACCAGUGGCGAAAGCGCUCUGCUGGGCCGACACUGACACUGAGAGACGAAAGCUAGGGGGAGCGAAAUGGG
rnacentral:rRNA from 1 species